rnacentral:rRNA from 1 species
AGAUUGAACGCUGGCGGCAUGCCUUACACAUGCAAGUCGAACGGCAGCACGGGAGCAAUCCUGGUGGCGAGUGGCGAACGGGUGAGUAACACAUCGGAACGUGCCCAGUAGUGGGGGAUAACCCGGCGAAAGCCGGACUAAUACCGCAUACGACCUAUGGGUGAAAGCGGGGGACCUGUGAGGGCCUCGCGCUAUUGGAGCGGCCGAUGUCAGAUUAGCUAGUUGGUGGGUAAAGGCCUACCAAGGCGACGAUCUGUAGCUGGUCUGAGAGGACGACCAGCCACACUGGGACUGAGACACGGCCCAGACUCCUACGGGAGGCAGCAGUGGGGAAUCUUGCGCAAUGGGCGAAAGCCUGACGCAGCAACGCCGCGUGGGGGAUGGAAGCUCUCGGGUUGUAAACCCCUUUCGAGGAGG